GGCCGAGUAGCUCAGUUGGUAGAGCAGGGGAUUGAAAAUCCCCGUGUCGGCGGUUCAAUUCCGUCCUCGGCCA
rnacentral:tRNA from 1 species